UUAAAUUGAAGAGUUUGAUCAUGGCUCAGAUUGAACGCUGGCGGCAGGCCUAACACAUGCAAGUCGAACGGUAACAGGAAGCAGCUUGCUGCUUUGCUGACGAGUGGCGGACGGGUGAGUAAUGUCUGGGAAACUGCCUGAUGGAGGGGGAUAACUACUGGAAACGGUAGCUAAUACCGCAUAACGUCGCAAGACCAAAGAGGGGGACCUUCGGGCCUCUUGCCAUCGGAUGUGCCCAGAUGGGAUUAGCUAGUAGGUGGGGUAAAGGCUCACCUAGGCGACGAUCCCUAGCUGGUCUGAGAGGAUGACCAGCCACACUGGAACUGAGACACGGUCCAGACUCCUACGGGAGGCAGCAGUGGGGAAUAUUGCACAAUGGGCGCAAGCCUGAUGCAGCCAUGCCGCGUGUAUGAAGAAGGCCUUCGGGUUGUAAAGUACUUUCAGCGGGGAGGAAGGGAGUAAAGUUAAUACCUUUGCUCAUUGACGUUACCCGCAGAAGAAGCACCGGCUAACUCCGUGCCAGCAGCCGCGGUAAUACGGAGGGUGCAAGCGUUAAUCGGAAUUACUGGGCGUAAAGCGCACGCAGGCGGUUUGUUAAGUCAGAUGUGAAAUCCCCGGGCUCAACCUGGGAACUGCAUCUGAUACUGGCAAGCUUGAGUCUCGUAGAGGGGGGUAGAAUUCCAGGUGUAGCGGUGAAAUGCGUAGAGAUCUGGAGGAAUACCGGUGGCGAAGGCGGCCCCCUGGACGAAGACUGACGCUCAGGUGCGAAAGCGUGGGGAGCAAACAGGAUUAGAUACCCUGGUAGUCCACGCCGUAAACGAUGUCGACUUGGAGGUUGUGCCCUUGAGGCGUGGCUUCCGGAGCUAACGCGUUAAGUCGACCGCCUGGGGAGUACGGCCGCAAGGUUAAAACUCAAAUGAAUUGACGGGGGCCCGCACAAGCGGUGGAGCAUGUGGUUUAAUUCGAUGCAACGCGAAGAACCUUACCUGGUCUUGACAUCCACAGAACUUUCCAGAGAUGGAUUGGUGCCUUCGGGAACUGUGAGACAGGUGCUGCAUGGCUGUCGUCAGCUCGUGUUGUGAAAUGUUGGGUUAAGUCCCGCAACGAGCGCAACCCUUAUCCUUUGUUGCCAGCGGUCCGGCCGGGAACUCAAAGGAGACUGCCAGUGAUAAACUGGAGGAAGGUGGGGAUGACGUCAAGUCAUCAUGGCCCUUACGACCAGGGCUACACACGUGCUACAAUGGCGCAUACAAAGAGAAGCGACCUCGCGAGAGCAAGCGGACCUCAUAAAGUGCGUCGUAGUCCGGAUUGGAGUCUGCAACUCGACUCCAUGAAGUCGGAAUCGCUAGUAAUCGUGGAUCAGAAUGCCACGGUGAAUACGUUCCCGGGCCUUGUACACACCGCCCGUCACACCAUGGGAGUGGGUUGCAAAAGAAGUAGGUAGCUUAACCUUCGGGAGGGCGCUUACCACUUUGUGAUUCAUGACUGGGGUGAAGUCGUAACAAGGUAACCGUAGGGGAACCUGCGGUUGGAUCACCUCCUUACCUUAAAGAAGC
rnacentral:rRNA from 1 species